GAUGAACGCUGGCGGCGUGCCUAAUACAUGCAAGUCGAGCGAACAGAUGAGGAGCUUGCUCCUCUGACGUUAGCGGCGGACGGGUGAGUAACACGUGGAUAACCUACCUAUAAGACUGGGAUAACUUCGGGAAACCGGAGCUAAUACCGGAUAAUAUAUUGAACCGCAUGGUUCAAUAGUGAAAGACGGUUUUGCUGUCACUUAUAGAUGGAUCCGCGCCGCAUUAGCUAGUUGGUAAGGUAACGGCUUACCAAGGCAACGAUGCGUAGCCGAUCUGGGAGGGUGAUCGGCCACACUGGAACUGAGACACGGUCCAGACUCCUACGGGAGGCAGCAGUAGGGAAUCUUCCGCAAUGGGCGAAAGCCUGACGGAGCAACGCCGCGUGAGUGAUGAAGGUCUUCGGAUCGUAAAACUCUGUUAUUAGGGAAGAACAAAUGUGUAAGUAACUAUGCACGUCUUGACGGUACCUAAUCAGAAAGCCACGGCUAACUACGUG
rnacentral:rRNA from 1 species